rnacentral:lncRNA from 1 species
ACAAACCAACAUUUCAAAUAUCAUUUGAUUUUGAGUUGAUUUGGUGGUUUUAAUGUUUCUCUACCCUCAUUUAUUCUCCAUAUUUGCACACUUUUGUGGUUUAAUUUUUGCAUCUCUUUGUCUGAACCUAUGUUGCUUUCAUAUUUUAGUUUCGUGACUGACAUUUUCCUAAUUGGUGUUUCUGAAACAAAGCAGGGUUUAAUAGAUGAAGAAGAAUUUGUCUAAUUAUUUUAAUUAUUUUCCUUUUUAUUAGGACAGACAAAGAGGGGUAAAGAAGAAUAUGAAGUUAUAACACUUGUUGUUGUUGAAAUGGUGUUAAUGGGGGAAGAAGAAUAAGAACAAUGGCGAGCAAUGGAAGUGGAAGAAAAAGGAGCAAUAUUGGAUAUGAAAGAAGGAGAGGAAGAAGACAAAGAAGCAUGAAUCAUCUGCUUUUGAGAAGUGGGAAGCUAUAUGUUUCAGGUAAAGAAAUAUAAAUAUAUUUUCAAUUGUAAAUUUAAACAACAAAUGCAAAGUGGCUCAUUGGUACUCAAUCUCGUUAUGCAGUUAACACUUGAAUUUGAAUUCAUGCGGAGGCAAAAUUUUGAACUUUUCUUGAAUUUUUAAUGACUUUGGUGAUACACGUGUAUCAUGUCAAAUACCACAUGUGUAAACAUAUGUUACGUUGGAUACCAUACGUGCUAACACAAAUGUCAUUUUUUAAAAUUAGAUGGAAAAAACUAAAUGAUGAUGUUUGAAGACAUAAGAGACUGUAUUGAUUUUUUAAAAAUUAAAUGACAA